AUGGCAAUGGCAACAGAUCCGACACUAGCUUCUGCUUAUGCUUAUCGCGUUUUGGAGUGCAUUUUCAAAUUUUCUUUUGUGAAAAAUAUUGGUAAAGUUCACUAGCUUAUUUGUAACGACAAGUUGAACGCAGGUAACAAUCAUGUAUAUCCAAAAAUUUUAAAUCAAUUUAUUUUGUAAAUGAAGUAGUCCAUUCUUGCAGUGGAGUUUAGUAAUUACAGGUGAAGUUAAAAAUUUAGGCUUAAGACAAGGCAGUACCAGUUCAAGAGGAGGAUGGUAUGGAUCAGGGUUAACAAGGUUAAAUUUUAUUGGAGAGGGUAAAUCAAGAUCUCUUCAAGCAGCGAUCGAGAAUUGACCCAUAUUUAUUAUUCACCCCAUUAAACUGAGACAAUCUUGAAAAAGCAAGUGAAUCGCAGAAAUAGAAUCCCUGCCAAAGAGAAUGUUACUAGCAUAUAGACCAGGAGGCAGAACUACCAGGGACCUGUGAUGAAUAGGAUCUAUUUUAUAUUAAUUUUGAUUUCAUAGUAUAUGGAGCUUAUUCACUAUUACUUGCCAAACUGUACAAGUUAUCCAGUGGACGUCAGCUAAGUUGCGUAUUUGUUGGAUACAUACUAUAUGCUCUCCAAGUUACACCCCUAACAGGUAAAAAAAAAUAUGUUUAAAACCUCCACUAAGGAAGAAUUCAGACUAAUAUUUGGAUGAUAAUUGUUGCUAAUAAAACGAAAUUGUUUGAUAGUA